GUAUGAUGGUCAUUCCUGUGCUGCCAUCUGGUAGGUGGCCUUGUGACAUCAGUGAAUAGGAAUUCUCUCACCUCAUCCUUUACUGGAAAUGGCAGCUAUUCUGAUGUAAGUCAGAUGGGUCAUCUUGGCGUGGAAGGAAUGACACUUCAUUCAUUCAAGGCAGCUCUCCUGAACUGAGCAACGGUUUCUUCUUUUGCCCUAAUUCAUGAAGCUUCUCAGCUGACGCAUCCAGCCUUCCCUGGGAUCUACUCCCUACCAUUAUAUGGAUAGGAGGCCACACAAGUCAUCCGCACCCCACAAAACUGCAUAUGCCAAGAAGGUGUAGCUGAGGUUGAGCUCCUCUGGCCUGAGGACUGAUCAUGAAUGCUGCUAGAGCUUAGGCAGCUUAAGAAAAUUCAAUCUACGCCUGGUUAUUGAGCACGGACUCCAUACCAGGGACUGUGGUGGACAGGAGGGAUACAGCUGGAAACAGGAUGUGGUCUCUGCUCACAAGAAGCUAGUCUCCUGGAGGAGAUGGACAUACAUAGAUGCAAACACCUGUCACUUAAGGUCAGGAAUUACACACUCAUAACAGAAGUAUGAAUAAAGCACUUUUUGGAGAUGCAUUCGAAUAAGAGCAAGCUUCACAUACAUGCUGGCAUUUUAUCUGGGCCUCGAAGGAUGAGUGAGGUUUCAAUAGUCACAGAGGAUGUGGGGGUGGGAAGGGUGGAGUAGGACAUUUAAACUAAGGGAGCCAUGUUAGCCAUGGUCCCGUGGUAUGAACUUGCAUGUUGGGAGUGUGAGAGUUGUCUAGUACAGCUGGAAGGCGCAGGCGUGGUGUAGGAGGACUAACAAGGCCAGAGAGGAGACUAGAAAGGCAAGUUGGGGCCAUUGUGGAGGG